rnacentral:rRNA from 1 species
AUGAAGGAGGCGCGUGGCCCAUGGCCCGUCUGCCCUCACUCCCGACCACCCUCUGCUCCCUUCCUAUUUCUGCUCUCCACCACCACCGCCCCGCGAGCUCCUCCUCCUCCCAUCCCAGCCAGCCAGCCGAGAGGCCUCCCAAUGCCAGCCACCACCAAUGCCUACCACCUAGGCCCCAAGGCGCCGACCCUGCAGCUCCACCGAGCGUCCUCCCUCCGCCCGUCCGCCCAACCCAUGGCCCGAGUGGCGGGGCAGCAGCUCGCCGCCGCGCUGCUCCUCCUCACCUCGGCCGCCGCCGCGCGCGCCAUCGCCAUCGGCAGCCCCGCCUACAACGUCGUCCCGCGCCUCUCCUCCUUCCAGGAGCACGCCGUCGUCGUCCCGCGCCUCUCCUUCGAGGAGCACGCCAUCAACCAGGACGACUACGGCGGGGACGGGGACGGGGUCGGGGGCGGCGCCGCCUCGGCCGCCGGGGGCAAGGGCCUCGUCGGCAACCCCGUCGUCGCCGAGAUCGUCAACAAGCGCCUCAAGGGCCUCACCGCCACCUUCGCCCGCUCCAUCCGCAGCCAGCUCGGCUACUGCAUCAAGGACACGUACGUGCAUGUCCAUUCUCCUUCUUCUUCUUCUUCUCCGUUUUUCCCGUGGGAUGGAUCGAUCCAUCUCGUGUGUGAUCUCCGAUUCGGAUUCCGAUUACGCAGGGACUCGGAGUGGGACGCGGCCUUCAACUUCACCAAGGACACCUCCUUCCUCAACAACUGCAUGAAGCAGACCAAUGGUGACCUGCACCAGCGGGUGUGCACGGCGGCGGAGAUGAAGUUCUACUUCAACAGCCUGAUCGAGAGCGGGGAGGAGACCAGGUGGGAGAAGAGCUACGUCAGGCCCAACAAGAACUGCAACCUCUCCUCCUGGAUCGACGGCUGCGAGCCCGGCUGGGCCUGCAGCGCCGGCGAGCAGAAGGUCGACCUCCAGGACGCCAAGGACAUCCCCUACCGCGCCGACGACUGCCAGGCCUGCUGCCCCGGCUUCUUCUGCCCCCAUGCCCUCACCUGCAUGAUACCUUGCCCUCUUGGAGCAUACUGCCCACUGUCCACCCUAAACAAGACUACGGGGAUCUGCGACCCGUACAAUUACCAACCGCCUGCUGGGAACCCAAACCACACCUGUGGCAGUGCUGACAAUUGGGCAGAUGUGAUGAGCACCGACGACGUUUUCUGCCCGGCUGGAUUCUACUGCCCGAGCACGACCCAGAAGCUCCCUUGUAGUAGUGGGUAUUACUGCAGGAAGGGAUCGACUUCGCAAACCAGAUGCUACAAGAAGAGCGCAUGUCCGCCCAACUCUGUUAAUCAGGACAUUACGAUCUUUGGCAUGUUGCUAGUGAUUGCCUCUUGUCUAGUCCUUCUGAUCAUCUACAAUUUCUCUGGCCAACUUCUAACCAACCGUGAGAAAAAGCAAGCAAAAUCUCGAGAGGCUGCUGCAAGGUAUGCGAAAGAGACGGCGCAGGCUCGUGAGAGGUGGAAAACAGCUAGAGAUGUCGCCAAGAAGGCUAGCACUGGCCUUCAGUCACAACUGUCUCGCACCUUCUCGCGCAAGCAGAAGCCGGGACAGCCAGGGGGGAUGUCAUCGAAAGGCAUGAUGCCUUCAGUUGGAACGGAUGGGGCUGGAAAAAAGAGCAACCUCCCCGACAUGACGAGCUCCCUUGAAGAGAACCCAGACGGGCCCGAAGGAUUCCAAAUGGAAAUAGGAGAUAAGACCGGCAAGAAGAUGCCCAAAGGGAAGCAGAUGCACAGCCGGAGCCAGAUUUUCAAGUAUGCAUACGGUCAAAUCGAGAAGGAAAAGGCAAUUCAACAGGAGAUGGAGGAGAACGAUAACAACAUGAGUUUGUCUGGUGUGGUAAGCAUGGCCAAAGAGCACGAAGUCGGUUCGAGAAUGCCCAUUGAGGUCGCGUUCAAGGACCUAACUCUGACGUUGACCGGGAGCAAGAAGAAGAUCUUGAGGUCCGUGACAGGAAAGCUCAUGCCUGGCCGCGUAGCUGCCGUCAUGGGCCCAUCUGGUGCUGGCAAGACCACAUUUCUGAGUGCUGUCGCCGGCAAGGCAACUGGUUGUGACACAUCAGGCUUGGUGCUCAUCAAUGGUAAAGUUGAGCCGAUCCGUGCGUACAAGAGGAUUAUCGGCUUUGUUCCCCAAGAUGACAUUGUCCAUGGCAACCUAACCGUUGAAGAAAAUCUCUGGUUCAAUGCAAGAUGCAGGCUGGCAGCAGACAUGUCGAAAGCCGAAAAGGUCCUCGUCGUGGAGAGGGUCAUUGAGUCUUUGGGGCUGCAGCCAGUUCGAGAUUCUCUGGUCGGGACGGUGGAGCAGCGUGGCAUCUCCGGUGGCCAGCGCAAGAGAGUCAACGUCGGUGUAGAAAUGGUCAUGGAACCUUCGGUGUUGAUCUUAGAUGAGCCAACUUCAGGUUUGGAUAGUGCAUCCUCCCUGCUUCUUCUCCGUGCCCUUCGCCGGGAAGCUCUCGAAGGCGUCAAUAUCUCCAUGGUUGUUCAUCAGCCUAGCUACACGCUGUACAGAAUGUUUGAUGACUUGAUACUUCUCGCCAAAGGGGGGAUGACUGUCUACCAUGGUCCAGUAAAGAAGGUGGAAGAAUACUUCUCGGGGCUGGGCAUUGUCGUGCCGGAUCGCGUGAACCCACCCGACUACUACAUUGACAUCUUGGAGGGCAUCGUGAAGCCAAACAUGAGCGCGGGCGUAACCGUUAAGGACCUGCCGCUCAGAUGGAUGCUGCACAACGGCUAUGACGUUCCACGGGACAUGCUGCGGAGCACCUCCGGGUCUGAAUCUUCGUCCAGAGGAGGCGCAGACCCUUCUUCUCCUGGCGCGGACGCAAGCCCAUCCUUUCUAUCAGAAAUGUGGGCCAAUAUCAAGGACACCAUCAUGCAGAAGAAGGAUGAGUUUGACUAUAACAAGUCAACCUUAGAUCUGUCAAACCGCAACACCCCCGGCAUCCUUAGGCAGUACAGGUACUUCCUGGGAAGGGUUGGCAAGCAGAGGCUCCGGGAAGCAAGGAUACUGGCUGUCGACUACCUGAUACUCUGCCUUGCUGGGAUAUGCCUGGGGACGCUGGCCAAAGUGAGCGACGAAACGUUUGGAGCGCUUGGGUACACUUACACUGUCAUCGCCGUCUCCCUGCUUUGCAAAAUCGGAGCCCUAAGAUCCUUCGCCCUGGACAAGAUAUACUACUGGAGGGAAAGGGCCUCGGGGAUGAGCUCGCUGGCCUACUUCCUGGCCAAGGACACCAUCGACCACUUCAAUACCAUCGUCAAGCCCAUCGUCUACCUCUCCAUGUUCUACUUCUUCAACAACCCCAGGUCGUCCAUCUGGGAGAACUAUGUCGUCAUCGUUGCGCUUGUGUACUGCGUCACGGGCAUCGGCUACACCCUCGCCAUCUUCUUCCAGCCAGGCUCCGCACAACUGUGGUCUGCACUGCUCCCAGUCGUUCUCACCUUGAUAGCAACUCAGCAGAAGGACACUAUCAUAGCUGAUCUUUGCUACACAAAGUGGGCUCUGGAGGCGUUCGUGAUCGCCAACGCUCACAACUACACCGGGGUGUGGUUGAUAACACGGUGCGGCUCUCUGCAAAGUAACGGCUACGACAUCAGCAACAGGAGUCUCUGUUUAUGGGUCCUCGUGGCCAACGGGGUGAUCUUCCGCUGCGUAGCCUUCUUCUGCAUGGUAGUCUUCCAGAAGCACUGA